rnacentral:lncRNA from 1 species
AGAAUUCUGAGGUCAUUCCUCAGUGUUCUAGCUGGAGGCUUCUAAAGCAUUAUGAGCUGUGUGGUCAAGUUCAAUACUAAGAACAUGGCCUUAGAAUGUAAAAAUGAAUGGCCACUUCCAGGUAUGGCUGAGAAGGGUGAAAAUGCAUGCACCCACAGACACACACACACACCGUGGAAAUGAGGAAAAGUUACUUCUCUCUGUUGUAAAUUUAAAUGCAGUCCAGAGUAGUGAAGGCCGUUUGUAAGGUCUGCUGAGCUAAUGGAUUCAUAAUGACUUUUAAAGCUUCACUCGGCUGCACUGGGGGAGAGCCUGCUGAAGCUGCUUGAAUCUCAACACUGUCAUACCCGCCAUCUCAUUAUCUACAGCCACAUCUAAAACCCACAUGAAAUACCAAGUCACACGCGGCUCUGGGAAAGACAUUUUACAGAGACCAUCUUAUGAGUUUUUAAUCUGCCUCCUGAGAACUUACAAUCUAAGAAAUAGAAAACUGAUUCCAGUAAGCAUGCCCAGAAUAUGCUAGCAGCAAGAUUAAAACAUGAAACUAUGAAUGUUAAGGUAUUUAUAAC